UACAGAGGGUGCGAACGUUGCUCGGAAUCACUGGGCGUAAAGCGCGUGUAGGCGGACCAGAAAGUCAGGUGUGAAAUCCCUGGGCUCAACCUAGGAACUGCAUCUGAAACUUCUGGUCUGGAGUGUCGGAGAGGGAAGCGGAAUUCCGGGUGUAGAGGUGAAAUUCGUAGAUAUCCGGAGGAACACCGGUGGCGAAGGCGGCUUCCUGGACGAUUACUGACGCUGAGACGCGAAAGCGUGGGGAGCAAACAGG
rnacentral:rRNA from 1 species